rnacentral:rRNA from 1 species
GUAAAGGGUUCGUAGGUGGUAGAGUAAGUUUUAAGUUAAAAUUCAUUAGCUCAACUUUUGAGGUGCUUAAAAUACUGCUCAACUAAGAGGGCGUUAAGGGUGAACGGAACCGACGGAGUAGGGGUGAAAUCCGUUGAUAUCGUCGGGAACACCAAAAGCGAAGGCAGUUCACUGGGACGACCCUGACACUGAGGAACGAAAGCGUGGGCAGAAAAAAGGAUUAGAUACCCUUGUAUUCCACGCUGUAAACGAUGAAUACUGGCUAUAUGAAGUGUCGACCCUUCAUGUGGCGAAGCUAACGCGUUAAGUAUUCCGCCUGGGAAGUACGGUCGCAAGACUAAAACUCAAAGGAAUAGACGGGGACUCACACAAGCGGUGGACCAUGUGGCUUAAUUCGACAACAAACGAAGAACCUUACCAGGUCUAGAAAUCCAAUUGACCAUCCUAUGAAAGUAGGACUUCGCAAGACAAUUGGACAGGUGCUGCAUGGUUGUCGUCAGUUCGUGUCUUGAGACGUACCGUUAAUUCGGGUAACGAACGCAACCCUUGCCCUGUGUUUUAAAUGUCACAGGGGACUGCCCGAGAUAAUUGGGAGGAAGGCGAGGAUGACGCCAAAUCAGCAUGGCCCUUUGAUGACCUGGGCCGCACACGUGGUACAAUGGCAGGUACAAUGCGCUUCGAUGGCGAAAGCCGGAGAUUAAUCGCACCAAAGCCUGUCUCAGUUCGGAUUGAGGGCUGAAACCCGCCCUCAUGAAGUUGGAAUCGCUAGUA